rnacentral:rRNA from 1 species
AUUGAACGCUGGCGGCAGGCCUAACACAUGCAAGUCGAACGAGUGGCGGACGGGUGAGCAAUGUCUGGGAAAUUGCCUGAUGGAGGGGGAUAACUACUGGAAACGGUAGCUAAUACCGCAUACCAUCAGAUGUGCCCAGAUGGGAUUAGCUUUUUGGUGGGGUAACGGCUCACCAAGGCGACGAGCCCUAGCUGGUCUGAGAGGAUGACCGGGCACACUGGAACUGAGACACGGUCCAGAGUCCGACGAGAGGAAGCAGUGGGGAAUAUUGCGCAAUGGGCGAAAGCCUGAAGCAGCCAUGCCGCGUGUAUGAAGAAGGCCUUAGGGUUGUAAAGUACUUUCAGCGGGGAGGCGUUACCCGCAGAAGAAGCACCGGCUAACUCCGUGCCAGCAGCCGCGGUAAUUC